GACGAACGCUGGCGGUGUGCUUAACACAUGCAAGUCGUGCGACGAACCAGACUUCGGUCUGGGGCAAAGCGGCGAACGGUGAGUAACACGUGGGUAAUCUGCCCCGAUGACUGGGACAACCCGAGGAAACUCGGGCUAAUACCGGAUGUGGUGCCUGGACUCAAGUCCGGUCACUAAAGGUAGCUUCGGCUUCCGCAUUGGGAGGGGCCCGCGGCCCAUUAGCUUGUUGGUGGGGUCAAGGCCUACCAAGGCAACGAUGGGUAGCUGGUCUGAGAGGACGAUCAGCCACACUGGGACUGAGACACGGCCCAGACUCCUACGGGAGGCAGCAGUGGGGAAUCUUGCGCAAUGCGCGAAAGCGUGACGCAGCAACACCGCGUGAGGGAAGACGGCCUUAGGGUUGUAAACCUCUUUCAGAUGGGACGAAGGUGAUGCGGUGAAUAGCCGAUGUCAUUGACGGUACCGUCAGAAGAAGCUCCGGCUAACUACGUGCCAGCAGCCGCGUAAUC
rnacentral:rRNA from 1 species